UACGUAGGGUGCAAGCGUUGUCCGGAAUUAUUGGGCGUAAAGAGCUCGUAGGCGGCUUGUUGCGUCGGCUGUGAAAUCCCGGGGCUUAACUCCGGGUCUGCAUUCGAUACGGGCAGGCGUAGAGUUCGGUAGGGGAGAUCGGAAUUCCUGGUGUAGCGGUGGAAAUGACGCAGAUAUCAGGAGGAACACCGGUGGCGAAGGCGGGGUCUCUGGGCCGAUACUGACGCUGAGGAGCGAAAGCGUGGGGAGCGAACAGG
rnacentral:rRNA from 1 species